rnacentral:rRNA from 1 species
CUUUGGGAUAACCCUCGGAAACGGGGGCUAAUACCGGAUAUGACCUGCGGUCGCAUGAUUGUGGGUGGAAAGUUUUUCGGCCUGGGAUGGGCUCGCGGCCUAUCAGCUUGUUGGUGGGGUAAUGGCCUACCAAGGCGACGACGGGUAGCCGGCCUGAGAGGGCGACCGGCCACACUGGGACUGAGACACGGCCCAGACUCCUACGGGAGGCAGCAGUGGGGAAUAUUGCACAAUGGGCGGAAGCCUGAUGCAGCGACGCCGCGUGAGGGAUGACGGCCUUCGGGUUGUAAACCUCUUUCAGCUCCGACGAAGCGUAAGUGACGGUAGGAGCAGAAGAAGCGCCGGCCAACUACGUGCCAGCAGCCGCGGUAAGACGUAGGGCGCGAGCGUUGUCCGGAUUUAUUGGGCGUAAAGAGCUCGUAGGCGGCUUGUCGCGUCGACUGUGAAAACCCGCAGCUCAACUGCGGGCCUGCAGUCGAUACGGGCAGGCUAGAGUUCGGUAGGGGAGACUGGAAUUCCUGGUGUAGCGGUGAAAUGCGCAGAUAUCAGGAGGAACACCGGUGGCGAAGGCGGGUCUCUGGGCCGAUACUGACGCUGAGGAGCGAAAGCGUGGGGAGCGAACAGGAUUAGAUACCCUGGUAGUCCACGCUGUAAACGUUGGGCGC